AGAACUGGUUCAAGUGGUUGGUGCUUCUAAUACAAGUUGUGGUCAUUGUGUCUCACGUACGUACCAGUGUUACUGCAACUGAAUUGCAGCACUGAAAUUUCAGGAACAAGUUUUUCUCAGUUGCUUUGGUACAUUUCUACAAUCAUCCUCAACAUUUGCAAAACUAUUUGUAUCUGUAAACUAUGGCUAAGGAUUAGAUGACAAUGAUUCAAAAUGCACAAGGCUGCACUUUUUCUGUAUGGCACAGAUCAUUUUCAACAGUACAGAGUUAUACAUUGCUGGGAAUUGGACAGGAUUCAAUGUUACACUUUUCUGUAUGCACUGUAAUUUGGUGACAGAGCAAACUCUUCACACAGUGAGCACAACAGAAGUAUAUGUGGGCCAAACUGAGGAUCAAUUAUCAUUGCUUUGGCACAAAAUGCAUUCAAUGACUACAUCUUCCAAAUUACAUUCAUUCUUUUCUCACUUUGACACAACAACCGCCAAAACUCUGUGUACUUACAGGCCAAUUAGCACAUGCUUACACACUGUUUUCAAAACUGUUAAACUUAAGUUCAAAACAAUAACAUAAUACAAAACUGAAUAAGACAGCAAUUUGCUACAAUUCUACAGUAAUAUUUUAAUGAAAUAUAUUGUAAAUCCUACAAUUAAAUGCUAUAAAAACAAUUGGACCAACCACAGCUGAUCUACACAGGUGUUACUCUUUCAAUUUGAUUACAAAAGGAGACAACUGCUGAGUAGUUUUGCAUUGUGAUGUAAACAUGGACCCAGCCAGAAAUAGAGAAGUGACUGAAAGAGGAAGAAGAGUGGCUGGGAGGGGGCGAGGAAUACAUAUGCGUGGUGGAAGGAAAAAUAAGAGGAAGAUCAAGAGCUGUAGUCUCAGAUGAGAUCAGAGCUACUGUAAUUGAUCAUUUAAUAAAUCAUGGUCUCUCAAUGAGAGAGGCUGGUCAGAGAGUGCAGCCAAAUCUGCAACGCUCAGCAGUGGCAUCUAUUGUUAGAGUUUUCCGGCAAACCAACAGGACUCAACGGUUACCUCACACAGGUGGGAGAGGAAGGAUGUUCACUGAUGUGCAGGAAACUGCCAUUGUUUAUAUGGUCAUCAGAAACAAUGGCAUAAAACUCACUGAGAUUCGAGACAGAGUCUUGGCAGACAACGUUACUUUUGCAAAUAUUCACAGUGUAAGCAUAACAACUAUUUCUAGAGUCCUGAAAAAAACAUCAGGUAAGGAUGAAACAGUUGUACACUGUGCCUUUUGAGAGGAACUCAGGAACCAAUAUGUCCAGAGAGUCACGGAGAUUGAAGGCAGGCAAACACCCCACAUUUUCAUCUUUGUUGAUGAGGCAGAUUUCAACUUGGCCAAAACCACAGUGGAUGUCCGGGGCCAGAGGGGUGCCAACAUCACAAUGUACGCAGCAAUAUCCACUGAUGGACUGCUGUUACACAAACCACUAAUUGAGCCAUACAACACUGAACAUCUCCUUGCGUUCCUGCAUGAUCUCUAUGGAAUCCACAUGAUCAAAUGUCCCUCCUGGACGCAAUGAAUGCUGGAUGCCUGGACAUAUCAGCAGAAGAUUGCCAAGGAUGGAUCAGGCAUGCCAGAAGAUUCUUUACUAGGUGUACUGCCCUAGAUGACAUAAGAUGUGAUGUGGACCUGUGGCCAAAUGGAGAAGACCGAGUAGAUUAGCAUUACUAUUGUAUCUGUAUCAGUGGAUAGUGUGUAUACAAAUUCUUGUAUUUUGGAAUUACUCAGUGCAAAAAAAAAAAUAAUAAUAAAAGACAUAAAAUAUAUUGAAGCAUUCUGCAUCAUGUCUGAUUCAUUCCAGUAACCUAUAUUGCAGUGAAUUAUAAACAGA